rnacentral:lncRNA from 1 species
AUAGUGCCGAAGGCGAAAAAGGAAGCUCCUACCCAUCUUAAAGCAGAAGCCAAAGCAAAGGCUUUGAAGGCCAAGAAAGCAGUGCUGAAAGGCUGAAAGUAGUCAUAAAAUAUGGUAAGUGGCAUCAAACACAUACACAAAAAAAGAAGAUCCGCAAGUCACCCACGUCCCGGUGGCCCAAGGCACUGCAGCCCCAUAGGCAGCCCAAAUAUCCUUGUAAGAUAGCAGGAUACAAGGAGAAAGAAGCUUGACCACUAUACCAUCAUCAAGUUCCUGCUGACCAGAGUUCACCAUGAAGAAGAUAGAAGACAACAUAUUUGUGUUCAUUGUGGAUGUUAAAGCCAACAAGCACCAGGUCAAAUAGGCUACAAAGAAGCUCCAUAACAUUGAUGAGCCAAGAUCAAGACCCUGAUCAGACCUGAUGAAGAGAAGAAGGCUUAUGUUUGACUGGCUCCUGAUUAUGAUGCUUUGGAGGUUGUCAACAAAAUUGGGAUCAUCUAA